GAGUUUGAUCAUGGCUCACCCUUGAACGCUGGCGGCAGGCCUAACACAUGCAAGUCGAGCNGAAACGGCAACAUUGACUCUUCGGAUGAUUUGUUGGACGUCGAGCGGCGGACGGGUGAGUAAUGCUUAGGAAUUUGCCCAGUCGAGGGGGAUAACUAUUGGAAACGAUAGCUAAUACCGCAUACGCCCUACGGGGGAAAGAGGGGGACCUUCGGGCCUCUUGCGAUUGGAUAAGCCUAAGUGAGAUUAGCUAGUUGGUGAGGUAAGAGCUCACCAAGGCGACGAUCUCUAGCUGGUCUGAGAGGAUGAUCAGCCACACUGGGACUGAGACACGGCCCAGACUCCUACGGGAGGCAGCAGUGGGGAAUAUUGCACAAUGGGGGAAACCCUGAUGCAGCCAUGCCGCGUGUGUGAAGAAGGCCUUCGGGUUGUAAAGCACUUUCAGCAGUGAGGAAGAUGUGUAGAUUAAUACUCUGCACAUUUGACGUUAGCUGCAGAAGAAGCACCGGCUAACUCCGUGCCAGCAGCCGCGGUAAUACGGAGGGUGCGAGCGUUAAUCGGAAUUACUGGGCGUAAAGCGCAUGCAGGUGGUUUGUUAAGUCAGAUGUGAAAGCCCGGGGCUCAACCUCGGAAGGUCAUUUGAAACUGGCAAGCUAGAGUACUGUAGAGGGGGGUAGAAUUUCAGGUGUAGCGGUGAAAUGCGUAGAGAUCUGAAGGAAUACCGGUGGCGAAGGCGGCCCCCUGGACAGAUACUGACACUCAGAUGCGAAAGCGUGGGGAGCAAACAGGAUUUGAUACCCUGGUAGUCCAC
rnacentral:rRNA from 1 species